rnacentral:rRNA from 1 species
UACGUAGGGGGCGAGCGUUGUCCGGAUUUACUGGGCGUAAAGAGCGCGCAGGCGGUCGUUCAAGUCGAGUGUGAAAGCCCCCGGCUCAACUGGGGAGGGUCACUCGAUACUGAUCGACUUGAAGGCAGGAGAGGGAAGCGGAAUUCCCGGUGUAGUGGUGAAAUGCGUAGAUAUCGGGAGGAACACCAGUGGCGAAGGCGGCUUCCUGGCCUGCUCUUGACGCUGAGGCGCGAAAGCUAGGGUAGCAAACGGG